UACGGGGGGGGCAAGCGUUGUUCGGAAUUACUGGGCGUAAAGGGCGCGUAGGCGGGGGGACAAGUCUCUAGUGAAAGCCCACGGCUCAACCGUGGAAUUGCGGGAGAUACUGUCUGUCUUGAGUCCGGGAGAGGAGGGUGGGAUUUCCAGUGUAGCGGUGAAAUGCGUAGAUAUUGGGAGGAACACCGGUGGCGAAGGCGGCUCUCUGGACCGGUACUGACGAUGAGGCGCGAAAGCUAGGGGAGCAAACGGG
rnacentral:rRNA from 1 species